UACGGAGGAUGCGAGCGUUAUCCGGAUUUUAUUGGGGUUUAAAGGGUGCGUAGGCGGCCGAGUAAGUCAGCGGUGAAAUUUUGUAGCUUAAACUGUAACAGGUGCCGUUGAUACUGCAUGGCUAGGAUUUGGUUGCUGUGGGUGGAAUGUGUGGUGUAGCGGUGAAAUGCUUAGAUAUCACACAGAAUAUCAAUUUGCGAAGGCAGCUCACAAAGCCAAGAUUGACGCUGAGGCACGAAAGUUGGGGAUCCAAACAGGAUUA
rnacentral:rRNA from 1 species